rnacentral:rRNA from 1 species
ACGAAGGGGGCAAGCGUUGUUCGGAUUUACUGGGCGUAAAGGGCGUGCAGGCGGACCGAUAAGUCGUCUGUGAAAUCUGUCGGCUCAACCAACAACUGGCAGUCGAAACUAUCGGUCUUGAGUACAGGAGAGGAGAGCGGAAUCUCAGGUGUAGCGGUGAAAUGCGUAGAUAUCUGGGAGAACACCGGUGGCGAAGGCGGCUCUCUGGCCUGAUACUGACGCUGAGGCGCGAAAGCUAGGGGAGCGAACGGG